rnacentral:rRNA from 1 species
GAUGAACGCUGGCGGCGUGCCUAAUACAUGCAAGUCGAGCGAACAGACGAGGAGCUUGCUCCUCUGACGUUAGCGGCGGACGGGUGAGUAACACGUGGAUAACCUACCUAUAAGACUGGGAUAACUUCGGGAAACCGGAGCUAAUACCGGAUAAUAUAUUGAACCGCAUGGUUCAAUAGUGAAAGACGGUUUUGCUGUCACUUAUAGAUGGAUCCGCGCCGCAUUAGCUAGUUGGUAAGGUAACGGCUUACCAAGGCAACGAUGCGUAGCCGACCUGAGAGGGUGAGCGGCCACACUGGAACUGAGACACGGUCCAGACUCCUACGGGAGGCAGCAGUAGGGAAUCUUCCGCAAUGGGCGAAAGCCUGACGGAGCAACGCCGCGUGAGUGAUGAAGGUCUUCGGAUCGUAAAACUCUGUUAUUAGGGAAGAACAAAUGUGUAAGUAACUAUGCACGUCUUGACGGUACCUAAUCAGAAAGCCACGGCUAACUACGU